CAGCCGCCGCGGGAACACGUAGGGUGCGAGCGUUAAUCGGAAUUACUGGGCGUAAAGCGUGCGCAGGCGGUUAUAUAAGACAGAUGUGAAAUCCCCGGGCUCAACCUGGGACCUGCAUUUGUGACUGUAUAGCUAGAGUACGGUAGAGGGGGAUGGAAUUCCGCGUGUAGCAGUGAAAUGCGUAGAUAUGCGGAGGAACACCGAUGGCGAAGGCAAUCCCCUGGACCUGUACUGACGCUCAUGCACGAAAGCGUGGGGAGCAAACAGGAUUAGAUACCCCAGUAGUCCCUGUCUCUUAUAC
rnacentral:rRNA from 1 species